GAAAUUGGAGCAUUUCAUUGGCAAAAAAAACAUUUAGGCAUGUAUCAAAUGGCACAUGAAGCAUUUAGGUACAUAUCAAAGGCAUAAGAGUGUUUGAGAGCAUAACAAUGACAUACGAAACACUUCAAGGUAUAACAAGUGAACCGAGUAAUAAACACAAGCUUGUAUGUCCUUUUUUGAUGUAGCAUGCAUUCCAUUUUUAUCCAAAGCAUAAUAUGAACUCAUAAACAAAGCUUUGGAUAUCAUAUCAAUAAACAUAGAUGGCGCUGUGGGACCACAUACAUAAUGUGAUUCAUCCAUUUCUGGAUGACCACCAAGCAUAAGUCUCCCACGUCUAGGAGCUCCAUCCACCCACGUCUGAGUGAAGUCAAU
rnacentral:lncRNA from 1 species